GGGGAUAUAGCUCAGUUGGUAGAGUGCUUGCCCUGCAAGCACAAGGCCCUGGGUUCAAUCCCCAGUACCACAA
rnacentral:tRNA from 1 species